UCCGGUUUGGCACCGGCAUUCCUCCCAGAGUCCCCGACUUGACUCGCUGGCAACUGGGAGCGGGGGUUGCGCUCGUUGCGGGACUUAACCCAACAUCUCACGACACGAGCUGACGACAGCCAUGCAGCACCUGUGUCGGCUCCUCUUGCGAGGUCUCUCCCCUUUCGGUUCAAUACCACCGACAUGUCAAACCCAGGUAAGGUUUUUCGCGUUGCGUCGAAUUGGACCACAUGCUCCACCGCUUGUGCGGGUCCCCGUCAAUUCCUUUGAGUUUUAACCUUGCGACCGUACUCCCCAGGCGGUCAACUUCACGCGUUAGCUUCGUUACCAAGGAAUUGCUUCCCCGACAACCAGUUGACAUAGUUUAGGGCGUGGACUAC
rnacentral:misc_RNA from 1 species